GACAGAGGGUGCAAACGUUGUUCGGAAUUACUGGGCGUAAAGCGCGUGUAGGCGGCCUCGCAAGUCGGAUGUGAAAUCCCGCGGCUCAACCGUGGAAGUGCAUUCGAAACUGCGAGGCUAGAGUCCUGGAGAGGAAGGUGGAAUACUUGGUGUAGAGGUGAAAUUCGUAGAUAUCAAGUGGAACACCGGUGGCGAAGGCGACCUUCUGGACAGUGACUGACGCUGAGACGCGAAAGCGUGGGGAGCAAACAGG
rnacentral:rRNA from 1 species